rnacentral:misc_RNA from 1 species
AACGCACAUUGCGCCCGCCAGCACUCUGGCGGGCAUGCCUGUCCGAGCGUCAUCCCGAACCUCAGGCGCCGCAACGCACCCUCCAGCGGUGCGGGCAGCCUGGCGUUGGGGCGCUACGGCGCGCUGCGGCGCUGUCCGUAGGCUCCGAAAUACAUUGGCGGGACCGUCCAGACCCCGAGCGCAGUAGUCUUCCUCUCGCUCAGGGCCGUCCGGCGCGGUCUUCCAGAAGGCGAGACGCUAUUCGACGCUAGAUUGACCUCGGAUCAGGUAGGGAUACCCGCUGAACUUAA